GGCAGGGAUGGAGGCAGGGAUGGAGGCCUGGAAGGGACGGUGGCAGGGAUGGAGGCCUGGAAGGGAUGGAGGCAGGGAUGGAGGCCUGGAAGGGAUGGAGGCAGGGAUGGAAGCCUGGAAGGGACGGUGGCAGGGAUGGGGGCUAUACAUGGGCUUAGCAACAUGGACUUCCUGUACAUGGUUGAUGCCAUUGCUGAGUGACUAAUCUGCCAGCAGAAGAAACCGACACUAAACCCCUGAUAAGGCUCCAUAGUCACCUGGUUGGUUACAUGGAUUGUAACCAGUUACACUGGACCUGUUCGAAUAUGGAGAUAAGGCAUAGAUCUGAUCUCACUGGAAUAGACACAUAUUCUGGGUAUGGAUUUUGUUGAAGAAGCAGCCAUUGUGUGACCUGCUGCCUGCUUUGGGAUCAUCCAGUCAGUGCCCUGGGCCUGGAACGUCCCCCAAUGUGGAAGCUGGCUCUUCCUUGGCCCAGAUUCUUCUUCCUUUUUAGGAGAAAUCUUUCCCCAUUUCUGAAUAAGCAGUGAGCUUCUUGUAUUGCUGAAACAUGUGCAUCAUAUGGCACCUUGCCAGCCCCACCAGUUUAUCUGCCCCUGUAGGAAGAGUGGGGUCUUUGCCUGUAGCAUGAGAGGGGUUCGUGCCUGGUGGGGGCGGGGGGUGUUGGGAAGAGGAUCUGGAGCCAAGUGGGCCAGAAGGGGUGGGAAUAGGCCUCUGGGAGGGCUCAGGGCUCUGCCUUAUUGGCUGUGAGAUGGAACUGAGAGAGACAGGUUUGCUUUAUUUAAGGGUGCUACCCACUCAUAGUUUAAAUUCUUUUUCAAAGCAUAGAGUAAAGGAUAAAAAGCACAAGCUGCCAGCAUUCCAUUUCUCUCCAAUUCCACAGUCAAACUCCCCAGGUGUAGCCCCCAUUAAAAUAGUUUCAUCUGUGUCCUUUUAGAAAUUUUCCUCUGAAAAACAGGGAUUUGGGGGGAAGACGGUCAGUUUAGGUUGGACCCUUGAGACUGAGGUGCUGUCUGACAUCCAGGGGGAGGAUGCUGGAGGCAAUGGAGAAGAAGGGUCUAGAGUUUAAUAGAAGGAUCUGGACUGAAGAUUUUUAUGAUACAUCCUCAGAAAAGUCCAUUUUUGGAGCCUGGUAUGCCAGCAAUUGCCGUGAUAAUGAUUUUUCCUGGAUGUUAACGUGAAGACCAUUGUUCCUAAGCUUGGGAACAUCAUAGGUGACCAUGCCCUUUUUCAAUAAGGUAUUUGCACAUGUUGCGGUGGUAAAUCUCUUCUGCUUGAAAUCGUUUUAGUUCAAGGAUCCCACUGCAUGGCUUCACACCCUGGCUAUCUGGAAAGAGUUCCGUCCACGUUUAUGACCUCAGUGUUGGGGGAGUUAGAGUUACUCUUGACCACAGGGAAGUUUUUAGUGGAGUACAUUUCAUCAUUGGGCACAACUUCUGCCCUCUCAGCCUCAAAAAAUAUUACUAAAAAGAAAUUAGGGCUGAGUUUUAUUUUCUGUAAUGAUGACCAGCAUGUUUCACCCUAAUGCUCACACCAAGAACAACUAGAAAAGUUG
ensembl:lncRNA